rnacentral:rRNA from 1 species
AUUGAACGCUGGCGGCAGGCUUAACACAUGCAAGUCGAGCGGGGUGAUGGUGCUUGCACUAUCACUUAGCGGCGGACGGGUGAGUAAUGCUUAGGAAUCUGCCUAUUAGUGGGGGACAACAUCUCGGAAGGGAUGCUAAUACCGCAUCCGUCCUACGGGAGAAAGCAGGGGAUCACUUGUGACCUUGCGCUAAUAGAUGAGCCUAAGUCGGAUUAGCUAGUUGGUGGGGUAAAGGCCUACCAAGGCGACGAUCUGUAGCGGGUCUGAGAGGAUGAUCCGCCACACUGGGACUGAGACACGGCCCAGACUCCUACGGGAGGCAGCAGUGGGGAAUAUUGGACAAUGGGGGGAACCCUGAUCCAGCCAUGCCGCGUGUGUGAAGAAGGCCUUAUGGUUGUAAAGCACUUUAAGCGAGGAGGAGGCUCUUUUGGUUAAUACCCAAGAUGAGUGGACGUUACUCGCAGAAUAAGCACCGGCUAACUCUGUGCCAGCAGCCGCCGUAA